rnacentral:rRNA from 1 species
CCACCGCUAUCAAGUUCCGACUAAGCCAUGCGAGUCAAGGUAUCGUAAGAUGCCGGCAAACUGCUCAGUAACACGUGGAUAAUCUAACCUUGAGUAAGGGAUAACCUCGGGAAACUGAGGAUAAUACCUUAUAAUUGCUUAAAACUGGAAUGUUUAAGCAAUAAAAGUUCCGACGCUCAAGGAUGAGUCUGCGACCUAUCAGGUAGUAGGUGGUGUAAUGGACCACCUAGCUUCAGACGGGUACGGGCCCUGGGAGGGGUAGCCCGGAGAUGGACUCUGAGACAUCAGUCCAGGCCCUACGGGGCGCAGCAGGCGCGAACACUGUGCAAUGCGCGAAAGCGCGACACGGGGAGCUUGAGUGUCUUGGCAUAGCCAAGACUUUUCUCAUUCCUAAAAAGCAUGAGGAAUAAGUGCUGGGUAAGACGGGUGCCAGCCGCCGCGGUAACACCCGCAGCACAAGUGGUGGUCACUUUUAUUGAGCCUAAAGCGUUCGUAGCCGGUUUUGUAAAUCUUUA